CGGACGCUACGUACGUUGUGAGGCAACUUAAUAAAAUAGUGAAUAACUAUUGGAAGGGGCCGUGGAAUAGUUACAGCAGCGCGCCAAAACAAGUAAAGGAUUUGUGGUGGAAUGAGUUCAAGCGGAAGUUCGGUUGGGAUGAAACGGAAGAGGAUGAAGUUAGAAGAAUUUUUAAGAAGAAAGCCGGCAAUCAUAUAUGAAAUGUGAUGAAUAAAGCAAAGAGAAGUCAAGGGAAGCUAGAUUUCAUUACUGGUGACGAUUGGAUAGAAAUAAAGAGAAUUUGGGAAAGUGAAAAGAAUACGCAAAGGAGUGAAUAGAACGAGAAGAAUCGAGCUUCUAGUUCUAUUGAAGGGUCUGCGACAUAUGCAGGGGGUUCUAUCAACAUUGGGGAGCAUAAAAAAAGAAUGGCAAAUGAAGUAGGGACGGAACCGACAUAUACAGCUACAUUUGAACGCACAUUUCAAAAGAAAGAUAAGACAUGGACUAGCGACCGAGCAAAAGCUAUUAAGG